GAUGAACGCUGGCGGCGUGCCUAAUACAUGCAAGUCGAGCGAACAGAUGAGGAGCUUGCUCCUCUGACGUUAGCGGCGGACGGGUGAGUGACACGUGGAUAACCUACCUAUAAGACUGGGUUAACUUCGGGAAACCGGAGCUAAUACCGGAUAAUAUAUUGAACCGCAUGGUUCAAUAGUGAAAGACGGUUUUGCUGUCACUUAUAGAUGGAUCCGCGCCGCAUUAGCUAGUUGGUAAGGUAACGGCUUACCAAGGCAACGAUGCGUAGCCGACCUGAGAGGGUGAUCGGCCACACUGGAACUGAGACACGGUCCAGACUCCUACGGGAGGCAGCAGUAGGGAAUCUUCCGCAAUGGGCGAAAGCCUGACGGAGCAACGCCGCGUGAGUGAUGAAGGUCUUCGGAUCGUAAAACUCUGUUAUUAGGGAAGAACAAAUGUGUAAGUAACUAUGCACGUCUUGACGGUACCUAAUCAGAAAGCCACGGCUAACUACGUG
rnacentral:rRNA from 1 species